GCUGGCGGCAGGCCUAACACAUGCAAGUCGAACGGUAACAGGAAGCAGCUUGCUGCUUCGCUGACGAGUGGCGGACGGGUGAGUAAUGUCUGGGAAACUGCCUGAUGGAGGGGGAUAACUACUGGAAACGGUAGCUAAUACCGCAUAACGUCGCAAGACCAAAGAGGGGGACCUUCGGGCCUCUUGCCAUCGGAUGUGCCCAGAUGGGAUUAGCUAGUAGGUGGGGUAACGGCUCACCUAGGCGACGAUCCCUAGCUGGUCUGAGAGGAUGACCAGCCACACUGGAACUGAGACACGGUCCAGACUCCUACGGGAGGCAGCAGUGGGGAAUAUUGCACAAUGGGCGCAAGCCUGAUGCAGCCAUGCCGCGUGUAUGAAGAAGGCCUUCGGGUUGUAAAGUACUUUCAGCGGGGAGGAAGGGAGUAAAGUUAAUACCUUUACUCAUUGACGUUACCCGCAGAAGAAGCACCGGCUAACUCCGUGCCAGCAGCCGCGGUAAUACGGAGGGUGCAAGCGUUAAUCGGAAUUACUGGGCGUAAAGCGCACGCAGGCGGUUUGUUAAGUCAGAUGUGAAAUCCCCGGGCUCAACCUGGGAACUGCAUCUGAUACUGGCAAGCUUGAGUCUCGUAGAGGGGGGUAGAAUUCCAGGUGUAGCGGUGAAAUGCGUAGAGAUCUGGAGGAAUACCGGUGGCGAAGGCGGCCCCCUGGACGAAGACUGACGCUCAGGUGCGAAAGCGUGGGGAGCAAACAGGAUUAGAUACCCGGGUAGUCCACGCCGUAAACGAUGUCGACUUGGAGGUUGUGCCCUUGAGGCGUGGCUUCCGGAGCUAACGCGUUAAGUCGACCGCCUGGGGAGUACGGCCGCAAGGUUAAAACUCAAAUGAAUUGACGGGGGCCCGCACAAGCGGUGGAGCAUGUGGUUUAAUUCGAUGCAACGCGAAGAACCUUACCUGGUCUUGACAUCCACUGAAGUUUUCAGAGAUGAGAAUGUGCCUUCGGGAACCGUGAGACAGGUGCUGCAUGGCUGUCGUCAGCUCGUGUUGUGAAAUGUUGGGUUAAGUCCCGCAACGAGCGCAACCCUUAUCCUUUGUUGCCAGCGGUCCGGCCGGGAACUCAAAGGAGACUGCCAGUGAUAAACUGGAGGAAGGUGGGGAUGACGUCAAGUCAUCAUGGCCCUUACGACCAGGGCUACACACGUGCUACAAUGGCGCAUACAAAGAGAAGCGACCUCGCGAGAGCAAGCGGACCUCAUAAAGUGCGUCGUAGUCCGGAUUGGAGUCUGCAACUCGACUCCAUGAAGUCGGAAUCGCUAGUAAUCGUGGAUCAGAAUGCCACGGUGAAUACGUUCCCGGGCCUUGUACACACCGCCCGUCACACCAUGGGAGUGGGUUGCAAAAGAAGUAGGUAGCUUAACCUUCGGGAGGGCGCUUACCACUUUGUGAUUCAUGACUGGGGUGAA
rnacentral:rRNA from 1 species